rnacentral:rRNA from 1 species
AUUGAACGCUGGCGGCAGGCUUAACACAUGCAAGUCGAACGAUGAUUAUCUAGCUUGCUAGAUAUGAUUAGUGGCGGACGGGUGAGUAACAUUUAGGAAUCUGCCUAGUAGUGGGGGAUAGCUCGGGGAAACUCGAAUUAAUACCGCAUACGACCUACGGGUGAAAGGGGGCGCAAGCCCUUGCUAUUAGAUGAGCCUGAAUCAGAUUAGCUAGUUGGUGGGGUAAAGGCCCACCAAGGCGACGAUCUGUAACUGGUCUGAGAGGAUGAUCAGUCACACCGGAACUGAGACACGGUCCGGACUCCUACGGGAGGCAGCAGUGGGGAAUAUUGGACAAUGGGGGCAACCCUGAUCCAGCCAUGCCGCGUGUGUGAAGAAGGCCUUUUGGUUGUAAAGCACUUUAAGCAGGGAGGAGAGGCUAAUGGUUAAUACCCAUUAGAUUAGACUUUACCUGCAGAAUAAGCACCGGCUAACUCUGUGCCAGCAGCCGCGGUAAUACAGAGGGUGCGAGCGUUAAUCGGAAUUACUGGGCGUAAAGCGAGUGUAGGUGGCUCAUUAAGUCACAUGUGAAAUCCCCGGGCUUAACCUGGGAACUGCAUGUGAUACUGGUGGUGCUAGAAUAUGUGAGAGGGAAGUAGAAUUCCAGGUGUAGCGGUGAAAUGCGUAGAGAUCUGGAGGAAUACCGAUGGCGAAGGCAGCUUCCUGGCAUAAUAUUGACACUGAGAUUCGAAAGCGUGGGUAGCAAACAGGAUUAGAUACCCUGGUAGUCCACGCCGUAAACGAUGUCUACUAGCCGUUGGGGUCCUUGAGACUUUAGUGGCGCAGUUAACGCGAUAAGUAGACCGCCUGGGGAGUACGGCCGCAAGGUUAAAACUCAAAUGAAUUGACGGGGGCCCGCACAAGCGGUGGAGCAUGUGGUUUAAUUCGAUGCAACGCGAAGAACCUUACCUGGUCUUGACAUAGUGAGAAUCCUGCAGAGAUGCGGGAGUGCCUUCGGGAAUUCACAUACAGGUGCUGCAUGGCUGUCGUCAGCUCGUGUCGUGAGAUGUUGGGUUAAGUCCCGCAACGAGCGCAACCCUUUUCCUUAUUUGCCAGUGGGUUAGGCCGGGAACUUUAAGGAUACUGCCAGUGACAAACUGGAGGAAGGCGGGGACGACGUCAAGUCAUCAUGGCCCUUACGACCAGGGCUACACACGUGCUACAAUGGUAGGUACAGAGGGUUGCUACACAGCGAUGUGAUGCUAAUCUCAAAAAGCCUAUCGUAGUCCGGAUUGGAGUCUGCAACUCGACUCCAUGAAGUCGGAAUCGCUAGUAAUCGCAGAUCAGAAUGCUGCGGUGAAUACGUUCCCGGGCCUUGUACACACCGCCCGUCACACCAUGGGAGUCUAUUGCACCAGAAGUAGGUAGCCUAACGUAAGAGGGCGCUUACCACGGUGUGGUCGAUGACUGGGGUG